rnacentral:rRNA from 1 species
AGACUUUGAUCCUGGCUCAGGAUGAACGCUAGCGGCAGGCCUAAUACAUGCAAGUCGGACGGUAUAGAUUCUUUCGGGGAUCUAGAGAGUGGCGCACGGGUGCGUAACGCGUAUGCAACCUACCUUAUACUGUGGGAUAGCCCGGGGAAACCCGGAUUAAUACCGCAUGGUACCAUUAGAGGGCAUCUGAAAAUGGUUAAAGAUUUAUCGGUAUAAGAUGGGCAUGCGUAGGAUUAGCUAGUUGGCGGGGUAACGGCCCACCAAGGCGACGAUCCUUAGGGGUUCUGAGAGGAAGGUCCCCCACACUGGCACUGAGAUACGGGCCAGACUCCUACGGGAGGCAGCAGUAGGGAAUAUUGGGCAAUGGUCGAAAGACUGACCCAGCCAUGCCGCGUGCAGGAAGAAGGCGUUAUGCGUUGUAAACUGCUUUUAUACGGGAAGAAAAAGCAACUGCGGUUGAAAUUGCCGGUACCUUAUGAAUAAGCACCGGCUAACUCCGUGC